GUGCUCGUCCGAUCUGGAUCGUGUCGUUCGCGAGAAGAGACUCAAUAGAUCGCAGUGUGGUAGCUGCUCUACUAAGCACGUCACUCCGAACGGCAAGUCGGGUCGUAUGCAAGCGAUCCCUUUCCUCUCGAUCUCUUCGAAC